UACGGGGGGGGGAAGCGUUGUUCGGAAUUACUGGGCGUAAAGGGCUCGUAGGUGGCCAACUAAGUCAGACGUGAAAUCCCUCGGCUUAACCGGGGAACUGCGUCUGAUACUGGAUGGCUGGAGAUUGGGAGAGGGAUGCGGAAUUCCAGGUGUAGCGGUGAAAUGCGUAGAUAUCUGGAGGAACACCGGUGGCGAAGGCGGCAUCCUGGACCAACACUGACGCUGAGGAGCGAAAGCGUGGGGAGCAAACAGG
rnacentral:rRNA from 1 species